rnacentral:rRNA from 1 species
AUGAAGUACCUGGGCUUGCCAAUAAGCCUCGGAAGAGCAAGGCUCGUUCAUUUUCCGUUCAUUCUAGAUCGUAUCCGAGCUCACCUAGCGGGUUGGAAGGGCCGGCUGAUGUCCAUCGCAGGGAGAUGAGUGCUUGUCCGAAGCAUCCUGUCUGCAAUCCCAACUUUUGCACUCUCUGUUCUUCGGCCGCCCAAACUACUGCUCAAAGAGAUUGACAAAGUUCGUCAGAAGUUUCUAUGGGCGCAGGAGGAGGAGCUCAGCGGAGACAAAUGCAAGGUUGCCUAG